GAUGAACGCUGGCGGCGUGCCUAAUACAUGCAAGUCGAGCGAACAGACGAGGCGCUUGCUCCUCUGACGUUAGCGGCGGACGGGUGAGUAACACGUGGAUACCCUACCUAUAAGACUGGGAACACCUCGGGAAACCGGCGCAAAUACCGGAUAAUAUACUGCACCGCAUGGUGCAUUAGUGAAAUACGGCUGUGCUGUCACGUAUAGCUGGAUCCGCGCCGCAUUAGCUAGUUGGUAAGGUCACGGCUUACCAAGGCGACGAUGCGUAGCCGAGGUGAGAGGGUGAUCGGCCACACUGGAGGGGAGACACGGACCAGGGGCCUGCGGGAGGCAGCAGUAGGGAAUCGGACGCAAUGGGCGAAAGCCUGACGGAGCGAGGGCGCGUGAGUGAUGAAGAUCUUGGGAUCGGAAAACUCGGUUAUGGGGGGAGAACAAAUGUGGAAGGAACUAUGGACGUCGUGACGGUACCUGAUCAGGAAGCCACGGCUAACUACGUG
rnacentral:rRNA from 1 species